rnacentral:rRNA from 1 species
CACGUAGUUAGCCGGAGCUUUUUCUUCAGGUACCGUCAUUAUCGUCCCUGAUAAAAGGGGUUUACAAUCCGAAAACCUUCUUCCUCCACGCGGCAUCGCUGCAUCAGGGUUUCCCCCAUUGUGCAAUAUUCCCCACUGCUGCCUCCCGUAGGAGUCUGGGCCGUGUCUCAGUCCCAAUGUGGCCGUUCAACCUCUCAGUCCGGCUACUGAUCGUCGACUUGGUGAGCCGUUACCUCACCAACUAUCUAAUCAGACGCGAGCCCAUCUCUGAGCGAAUUUCUUUGAUAACAAAAUCAUGCGAUUUCACUAUGUUAUGAGGUAUUACCAUCCGUUUCCAGAAGCUAUCCCUCUCUCAGAGGCAGGUUGCUCACGUGUUACUCACCCGUCCGCCACUAACUUGAGGAAGCAAGCUUCCUCUCCGUCCGUUCGACUUGCUAUGUGUUAGGCGUGCCGCAGCGUUCGUCCUGAGCCAGGACUCAAACUCU